GGGCGAUUAGCUCAGUUGGCUAGAGCGUCUCAUUGACGUUGAGAAGGUCGGGGAUUCGAAUUCCUCAUCGCCCACCA
rnacentral:tRNA from 1 species